GGGGAAUAUUGGACAAUGGGCGCAAGCCUGAUCCAGCAAUGCCGCGUGGAUGAAGAAGGUCUUCGGAUUGUAAAGUCCUUUCGGCGGGGGCGAUGAUGACGGUACCCGCAGAAGAAGCCCCGGCUAACUUCGUGCCAGCAGCCGCGGUAAUACGAAGGGGGCUAGCGUUGCUCGGAAUGACUGGGCGUAAAGGGCGCGUAGGCGGAUGUUUUAGUCAGGCGUGAAAGUCCUGGGCUCAACCUGGGGAUUGCGUUUGAUACGGGGCAUCUAGAGUUGGGAAGAGGGUCGUGGAAUUCCCAGUGUAGAGGUGAAAUUCGUAGAUAUUGGGAAGAACACCGGUGGCGAAGGCGGCGACCUGGUCCUUGACUGACGCUGAGGCGCGAAAGCGUGGGGAGCAAAC
rnacentral:rRNA from 1 species